rnacentral:rRNA from 1 species
UACGUAGGGGGGCAAGCGUUGUCCGGAAUCAUUGGGCGUAAAGCGCGUGUAGGCGGUCCGGUAAGUCCGCUGUGAAAGUCGGGGGGCUCAACCCUCGGAUGCCGGUGGAUACUGUCGGGCUAGAGUGCGGAAGAGGCGAGUGGAAUUCUGGUGUAGCGGUGAAAUGCGCAGAUAUCAGGAGGAACACCAAUUGCGAAGGCAGCUCGCUGGGACGUUACUGACGCUGGAGGUGCG